rnacentral:rRNA from 1 species
GAUGAACGCUAGCGAUAGGCUUAACACAUGCAAGUCGAGGGGCAGCACAAGGUAGCUUGCUAUCUGGGUGGCGACCGGCGCACGGGUGCGUAACACGUAUGCAACUUGCCCUAUACAGGAGGAUAACCCGUCGAAAGACGGACUAAUACUGCGUAUGCUCACAACUUGGCAUCAAGUGGUGAGGAAAGAAAUUCGGUAUAGGAUAGGCAUGCGUCCCAUUAGCUUGUUGGUGAGGUAACGGCUCACCAAGGCAACGAUGGGUAGGGGAACUGAGAGGUUUAUCCCCCACACUGGUACUGAGACACGGACCAGACUCCUACGGGAGGCAGCAGUGAGGAAUAUUGGUCAAUGGGCGCGAGCCUGAACCAGCCAAGUCGCGUGAAGGAUGACUGUCUUAUGGAUUGUAAACUUCUUUUAUACGGGAAUAACAAGAGUCACGUGUGACUCCCUGCAUGUACCGUAUGAAUAAGCAUCGGCUAACUCCGUG